GUGAACGCUGGCGGUAGGCCUAACACAUGCAAGUCGCACGGCAGCACAGUAAGAGCUUGCUCUUACGGGUGGCGAGUGGCGGACGGGUGAGGAAUACAUCGGAAUCUACUUUUUCGUGGGGGAUAACGUAGGGAAACUUACGCUAAUACCGCAUACGACCUACGGGUGAAAGCAGGGGAUCUUCGGACCUUGCGCGAUUGAAUGAGCCGAUGUCGGAUUAGCUAGUUGGCGGGGUAAAGGCCCACCAAGGCGACGAUCCGUAGCUGGUCUGAGAGGAUGAUCAGCCACACUGGAACUGAGACACGGUCCAGACUCCUACGGGAGGCAGCAGUGGGGAAUAUUGGACAAUGGGCGCAAGCCUGAUCCAGCCAUACCGCGUGGGUGAAGAAGGCCUUCGGGUUGUACAGCCCUUUUGUUGGGAAAGAAAAGCAGCAGGUUAAUACCCCGCUGUUCUGACGGUACCCAAAGAAUAAGCACCGGCUAACUUCGUG
rnacentral:rRNA from 1 species